rnacentral:snRNA from 1 species
AAAGAGAAGUUGACGACAUAG